GUAUGUGAAAGCAAUCUGACUGCAACAUCUGUCAACUCAUUCAUCACCAGGGUUGAUUUGGCAGAUCACUGGCUAUGCAGAGAUCCCCUUCCUCCUUCACUGCUUCACGUGCUUUUCUCCUGAAGCUGAGCACUUAGUUGAAGAGGAUGACGUUCCUCAAUAGAGGAGUACCAUUCUGUGAUCAAGGGUACACAAGUAGCUGCACUUCCCUGAUAGAAUCUCCAAACAUGAUCUCAAG
rnacentral:snRNA from 1 species